rnacentral:lncRNA from 1 species
CUAUUCAGCGAUUAUCCACUGCUAUACGAAAGGACACACGUGACAUAAAUGUGGAGCGUAGGUGCUUUGUGAAUAAGAAUGAAAAUAAGUGAAAGGUGGAGGGGUAAUAAAGAAAAGGGAAGGCAGAGUGAGUUGAGGUUGAGGCAAAGGCAGCAGCAAGGCAGAGCACCCACUAAAAUCGGGCAGGAGGAGGAACCAACGCCUUCUUCUUCUUCUUCAGAUCAGAUCUCUCUCUCUCCAUCCACCCGGACCGACCCAUCCACCCGGUCGCCGCCGCCGCCGUCUCCCUCC